CGCAUCUGUGCAUGCAGCAUAUCAAUAAGCGGAGGAAAAGAAACUAACAAGGAUUCCCUCAGUAACGGCGAGUGAAGCGGGAAGAGCUCAAAUUUGAAAUCUUGAAAGGUCACCUUUCACGAAUUGUAGUUUAAAGAAGUGUUUUCUGUUACGAUCGCUAAUAUAAGUUCUUUGGAAUAGGACAUCACAGAGGGUGAGAAUCCCGUCUAUGAUUGCGAUUUGUAGCUUUGUGAUACACUUUCAAAGAGUCGGGUUGUUUGGGAAUGCAGCCCAAAACGGGAGGUAAAUUUCUUCUAAGGCUAAAUAUUGGCGAGAGACCGAUAGCGAACAAGUACCGUGAGGGAAAGAUGAAAAGAACUUUGAAAAGAGAGUUAAAUAGUACGUGAAAUUGUCAAAAGGGAAGCGUUUAACACCAGUGUUGUUUUCUGAAAAUCAACCUCUGUUAGCUUUAUGCAUGUUUGUUUAGACCUAAUCAGCUAUCUUGCAUGUUCUAUUGUUUGCAGUGGUGCACUUUUCAGUUUACAGGUCAACAUCAGUUUUUUUUACCGUAAAAAAGUUAAAGAAAGGUAGCUCAUGGCUCCGGUCGUGAGUGUUAUAGUCUUUUUCCUAUGCGGUAGGAGAGACUGAGGUCUGCAGUGUAGGCUAUUUGGCUAGAUACUCAGGUGCUAUGUGAUACCAUUUCAUAAACAACUUGUUGAUUAUGUUUUGUCUAUUGCAGUACUCGCUUGUACUAUCAUACCUACGCUUAGGAUGUUGACGAUCAGCUGAGCGCG
rnacentral:rRNA from 1 species